rnacentral:rRNA from 1 species
AGGGUGUAAACGCUGCGGGCUUGGUGUUGGGGGUCCUUUGAGGGCGCCCAGUGCCGGAGAGAAGUUGUUAAGCCUGCUGCUUGGGGAGUACGUCCGCAAGGAUGAAACUUAAAGGAAUUGGCGGGGGAGCACCGCAACGGGAGGAGCGUGCGGUUCAAUUGGAUUCAACGCCGGACAACUCACCAGGAGCGACGGUUACAUGAAGGCCAGGCUGAUGACCUUGCUUGACAAGCUGAGAGGUGGUGCAUGGCGUAGUCGUGU